rnacentral:lncRNA from 1 species
UUAAUUUUUUGUCUAAUGUUUAUAAAUUAACUGUUCACAUUGGCGCGCUAAGGAAAACAAAUUUGCCUAAAAACUUAAUUCAAAGAAUGUUAGAUCCAAUAGCUAGCAACAGAUGGAGUCAAGAUAUAACAAAACUCAACUAUAAAAAUUAUAAAGAAAAUCUAUGCAUAUAUGUAACAAAUUGUAAAUAAAAUUAAAAUCUACUCCUUCAAUCUUUCAAUCAUUCAAUAGAUAAUUAUAACCUUGAAUUUUCCCCACUCCUCAAUAUAAGAGAAGCCAAAUUUGUAACAUAAACUGAGGAUCCAUCUUAGUAGAAGAANNN